UACGUAGGGGGCUAGCGUUGUUCGGAAUUACUGGGCGUAAAGCGCACGUAGGCGGCUUUGCAAGUCAGAGGUGAAAGCCCGGGGCUCAACCCCGGAAUAGCCUUUGAGACUGCAUCGCUAGAAUUGUGGAGAGGUAAGUGGAAUUCCGAGUGUAGAGGUGAAAUUCGUAGAUAUUGGAAGAACACCAGUGGCGAAGGCGACUUACUGGACACAUAUUGACGCUGAGGUGCGAAAGCGUGGGGAGCAAACAGGG
rnacentral:rRNA from 1 species